UACGUAGGGGGCGAGCGUUGUCCGGAUUUAUUGGGCGUAAAGAGCGUGUAGGCGGUUCGGUAAGUCUGUCGUGAAAUCCUGAGGCUCAACCUCGGGCGUGCGAUGGAUACUGCCGGGCUAGAGGAUGGUAGAGGCGAGUGGAAUUCCCGGUGUAGAGGUGAAAUUCGUAGAUAUUCGCAAGAACACCAGUGGCGAAGGCGGCUCACUGGCCCGAUACUGACGCUGAGGCACGAAAGCGUGGGGAGCAAACAGG
rnacentral:rRNA from 1 species